GUGGGGGGAGUGUUUUUCCUAAGAUGUGCUGGUUACAGCUGGUGUCGGCACACACUCAUUUUCAUACUGAGUGGCCAGGCAAGGGCACCAGAGGAGGACCACGUGCAUCCUCCUCCAGUGCCGGUGCUGGGCGCAGUGCUACUGGAUUUCAUGCACUGGUCGCAAAGGAGGGCUGCUCGCAGCAGGUUGACAGGAAGAUUGGCAUCCCUGGACCACAGCCCAAAGUCAAAGACUCCCCACAAUGUCCAAGAUGCCUUCCAGGAGACAAGGUAAACCACUCUCCCUGCACACCUUCAGAACCAUUAUUCUAAAAUCUAGAAUCCAGAUGAAUUUUAUCUUCCCUUUUCUCAAACCAGACUUGCGGCUAUCUGCCAAAAUCAAAAACAUGUGAAACUUAUUUAACACAGAUGUCUUUGCCUGCCAGUUCUCUCUCUCUUUCUUCCAGGGAUAAUUCACCUCCUGUUGGAAGAAGUGCCUAGUCCAAGGGAGAAAAUUAUGGCAUUCUGAAACAGAGCAGCAAUUUUAGGGAUAGAAAUUUUGCCAGCAGAACCUUCCAAGUGGCCUCUUGCCAACUGGUCUACGUAUAGGGCAGAACACAAUGAGGGCCAGAAGGUGGGGUUUUACACCUUUAAACUGAGAGUGUUGGUGUGGAACUGACCAUCUGGGCAGCAGCAGGAAUCCCAGGAAGCUGUUGGUUUCUAGGAGGAUGCCAUGUGCCUGGGCUGGCUCCCAGAAAGCAAAACUGUGCCUGAAUCAGUGUUCCCCAAAGGGCCCCUUGGAUUAUCCUAAAGAGCAUAGUAAUAAGAGGAUAAUCCAAAGAGGCAGUAAUAAGAGGAUUGUUUACAGAGUGUGGACAGGGUGAGGGAGACCAUGGGCAUAGCGUAGGACUCGGAAGGUAAUAACUGCCCCUAGGCCUGAAGGGACAAGGGAGGGAGGAGCUCUUGAGGCCUGGAAGGAAAAGGUCGCUCAGAGCUGCUGCUUGGAAAAGACUGGAGUCCCUUGUGCAAGAAUGCAGUCUGUCCAGGAGACCCCACAGGGAGGGAGGCGGGGAAAUCUUCCUCCCUCUGCUCAUUUAUCCUAUGGGAGGAUGAACCCAUAGGAAAGCGUGAGGGCAGGCGAGCUUGUACUAGCACAUAGAGGUCCACCUCCUGGGCAGUGAGAGGGUGCAGGGUGGGCCUGGAGGGCAAACAGCCAGAUAUUCUUUUUCAUUUUUUAAAGGUUUAUUGACGUAUAGUUGAAUUACAAUGUUGUGACAAUUUCUGCUGUGCAACAAAGUGAUUCAGCUAUACAUAUACACACAUCCAUUCUUUU
rnacentral:lncRNA from 1 species